CCUACGGGUGGCAGCAGUGAGGAAUAUUGGUCAAUGGGCGUAGGCCUGAACCAGCCAAGUCGCGUGAGGGAAGACUGCCCUAUGGGUUGUAAACCUCUUUUAUAAGGGAAGAAUAAUGACUACGUGUAGUCAGAUGCCCGUACCUUAUGAAUAAGCAUCGGCUAACUCCGUGCCAGCAGCCGCGGUAAUACGGAGGAUGCGAGCGUUAUCCGGAUUUAUUGGGUUUAAAGGGUGCGUAGGCGGUAUUUUAAGUUAGUGGUAAAACGUCGGGGCUUCACCUUGAUUGGCCAUUAAAACUGGAGUACUAGAGUACAGACGAGGUAGGCGGAAUAAGUUAAGUAGCGGUGAAAUGCUUAGAUAUAACUUAGAACCCCGAUAGCGAAGGCAGCUUACUAAACUGUGACUGACAUUGAUGCUCGAAAGUGUGGGUAUCAAACAGGAUUAGAUACCCGAGUAGUC
rnacentral:rRNA from 1 species